rnacentral:rRNA from 1 species
CCCUUAGAUGUUCUGGGCCGCACGCGCGCUACACUGACGGAGCCAACGAGUAUUUUCCUUGUCCGGAAGGACUGGGUAAUCUUGUGAAACUUUGUCGUGCUGGGGAUAGAGCAUUGUAAUUAUUGCUCUUCAACGAGGAAUUCCCAGUAAGCGCGAGUCAUAAGCUCGCGUUGAUUACGUCCCUGCCCUUUGUACACACCGCCCGUCGCUACUACCGAUUGAACGGUUUAGUGAGGGCCUCGGAUUGGUCUCGGCCCGCUCUUUACCGGGCGGCGCCGUUGGUCGAGAAGACGCUCGAACUUGAUCGUUUAGAGGAAGUAAAAGUCGUAACA